rnacentral:rRNA from 1 species
UAUUGCGCAAUGGGCGAAAGCCUGACGCGGCGACGCCGCGUGGGGGAUGAAGGUCUUCGGAUUGUAAACCCCCUCCCGGAGGGAAGAUGGAAUGGGGUGACCCAUUCGGACGGUACCUCCAGAAGCAGCCACGGCUAACUUCGUGCCAGCAGCCGCGGUAAUACGAAGGUGGCAAGCGUUAUUCGGAUUUACUGGGCGUACAGGGAGCGUAGGCGGUUCGGUAAGCCCUCUGUGAAAUCUUCAGGCUUAACCUGGAAAAGUCGGAGGGGACUGCUGGGCUAGAGGACGGGAGAGGAGCGCGGAAUUCCCGGUGUAGCGGUGAAAUGCGUAGAGAUCGGGAGGAAGGCCGGUGGCGGAGGCGGCGCUCGGAACGUCUCUGACGCUGAGGCCGAAA